UACGUAGGGGGCAAGCGUUGUCCGGAUUUAUUGGGCGUAAAGAGCGUGUAGGCGGCCAUACAGGUCCGUUGUGAAAACUGGAGGCUUAACCUCCAGACGUCGAUGGAAACCGUAUGGCUAGAGUCCGGAAGAGGAGAGUGGAAUUCCUGGUGUAGCGGUGAAAUGCGCAGAUAUCAGGAGGAACACCGGUGGCGAAGGCGGGUCGUCUGGGCCGUAACUGACGCUGAGGAGCGAAAGCAUGGGGGAGCGAACAGG
rnacentral:rRNA from 1 species